GCAGGGUGUCAUAAAAUGCGAUUGUAAGGAUGGUUUGUUAAUGAGUGUCCCGAAAACCUUGAGUUGAAGUCAAGGUUGACUGAAGUCACGCACUGGAGGCAUUAAAACAUCAUGGCAAGUGUCAAGGACCAGACUGACGCUGUUCUUUGAAGCAGGCAGUGCUGACUGAUUGGGGCGAAGUCACAAGGAGACAUAACCUAUUGCUACGUUGCACAUAACAUAGCGCACAGAGACACCAGAUACCCGCCCCAAAUUCCAGUUCAGAGAGGCAGUAUUUCCAGUGGUGGCAUGUGGAGCUUUAAAAAGGAAAUGACUGAGGACAUCGGGGGGAAAAAAUGCACAACCUUUUCAGAUAACAGACAGUGAAGAAUAAAGACAUUUCCAUAGCAUCUAUUCACCGUUUGUAAGACAGAUAAAUGGGUGUUUUUUUUAAGAAAAAAAAACGAAACAAAAAACCCUAUUGUGACAUUAUAAGGUUUUGUGGUUUUUAUUUAGUUUUCGGUGACAUCCUGCUCCUUGCUUGUGUGGAGAGAUACAUACUUUGUGCUCUUGUGCGGAGCUAAGAUAGCUCCUGUAUUUGUCCGUACAUGAUUUUUGUUUUGUGUUCUUUUCAAGCUGUGAAACACAACACACGCAUUGUGCAAUUUUUCUUCCAUCAGAUAAGUUAAAGGAUUUUAGGCUCACAGAAAUCCUUUUGAAAGGAGCAUGAUUAUCUCAAACAUGUCUCUCAUAAACUGGAAACUGAAACUGGAGUGAUUUUCCUGUGAUUCAGAUUUGGUCAUCUUAUCAACCUCUUAAAAAAAGCAGCAGUUUCACUGAAACUGUAACCUACAUGUUUAAAUAAACUACUGGUUCCAUUUAUAGCCAGUUAUUUUGACUAUAAUAAUGCAGUAAAUGAAUACAAAUUUUGUAAAUGUAUGCACCUUAAUAUUUCCAUUUUAUGCUACUUUGUAUUUCUACUUCACUGCACUUAAAUUAUUUUACACUUUGUACAGUAUUUACUUUACAGCAACAGUAAUUAAUUACAUUUCAAGUUGAGAUUUAAAUACUUGGGUGCUAGUGCAGAUCAGUGAAGUCCAGAGGGUGACCCGUGUGCUGAAAGGCUACGGCAGGGGUCUGGGUUCAGUUCCGCCCCAGGCCAUUUCCUGCAUGUCAUUUCCAGUGUUCUUUGCUCCUCUCUUCCUGUCUACUUUACUGUCCUGUCAUAAAAUGAAUUAAGACCAAAAAAUACAACAAACACACAGGAAAUAAUAAUGAUGAGUUGUUUUAAAUUAAACUACCCAGUGGAAUAAAUACAGCUUGCAAAUAAAGUAAACAAAACAGUAAUUUAAUCAUAUAAAACUGACAAUGGUUUUAUUAUGUAAGUUCAUAUUGUUGGCCAUUAUAUUUACAGUUAUGUAAAAGAAAAAGUGAUUUUUCACGGGACUCACCCAAGAUUAGCUUGUAGGACCACAUACUGAAGCAAUCACUUUCACUUUGAUUUUAUCAGUCUCUCUUAUUUUAGUUUGUGAGCGUUUAUUUAUGCACAGCUCUCUGAAGGCUGAUGUCCGGACCUUCACUGGGCCAUCACAGCACCCUGAUUAUUUUCUUUUUCAGGCAUUUAGCUGUACAUUUGCUGCUGGGUUGAGAUUAUUGUCACAUUGCAUGAUCCACUUUUGGCCAAGCUUGAGCUGACAGACAAAGGGCUUCAUAUUUGAAGCUAGAAUACUUUUCUAUACAUAGGAGUUCACGGUCAACUGAAUGACUGUAAUGUGCCCAGGUCCUGUGACUGCAAAACAAGCCCAAAUCCUUAUCCGUUCACCACCGUGUGCUUAUAUGCUUUGCUGGGUUUUUUCCUACUUGGAAAUGUGCAUUAUAGCCAGAAGUCUUGCAGUUUGUUCAAAUGCAACUUUGAAACGCUUUUAGACACAGAGAAGAGGCUUUGUCUUGGCAACAUUUCCCAACAAGCCAUAUCUGUUCAGUCUUUUUCUAAAUCUAGUGUCACGAAAGAAGCAUUUAGCAUAUUAACAAGAAGUGGGUCUUGGUUGUUUUGCAAUUACUCUUAGCAUUGCUUGUGAGUGAGUGAGUUUGCUGGGAUGUGCUUAGUUUUUCACACGACGGCAUAGAGUCCUGCUACUUUAUUUAAGUAAAUAAUUAGAGUGCUACCUUCACUGUUAGGUGAUAAACAUAAAAAUGCAUACACAAACGUGUGAAUCCAUCAUUUCGUAACAAGGGUUUUGGGGGCUCUCACUGAGAGUGUGGUAGAAAACAGUAGGUGCAUUUCAUGUUAGUGCCACACAAAAACACCCCAGUACUUUCAGUGGUGUUCCACCUCUCUGUUUGCUGAUACGACAAAAAGUGUAAGGAAAGCGGGGGUAUGGGGGAGCCAGGUUUGAAUGACAUGGUGUUGCUGCCACGACCGUUGUUCACUGACCCACAAAAUGCAGGCCCAGCCCCCAGUGUGAAGUACUUUUGUGUUGUCAUCACCCUCAGAAGCCCGGGACCUGUGAUGGGAGGGUGUUUGAGCACCCGGAGGGUUGAGCGAUCUGAGGCGGCAGUCCACUCUCCAGAAGGACACAUGCUCUGUUAGGUGGCUAAAAAGAAGCCUGUAUUGUAAUGAAAGCAUUUGCAUACUUUUGUAUUAGAAAGGGUAUUAACCUCUGACACCUUUGAGAACUGGUUGACAAGAGGCCACUUCUCACAGUCUAAGCGUUAACACACUUGAAAAUAACACCUAAGUGUACCUCAGUGUGUAUCAAAAUCAAUAAAGAGAGGAGGAAAAGGUCUGCUUAAGUUUUUGAGAUUGAAGUUUGCUUCAAGUGGCGGUUCACCCUCAACAUAGAGUGUUGGAGGAUUUGAAAAUGAGGGAUCUUGUGGAUCUUAAAGCAUGAUGUUGGCUCUUUGAGUCUGAUAACCAGACCAAAUGUUGUUGUUUUUUCCUUAAAUAGAGCUGUCAAACUAAAGUUCUCUUGCGUUGAGUGACUGACAUGAAGAAAGUGUUUGGGGAGUCAUUAACAAGUUGCAGAUGGAGAGAAACCAAACGGUGUGACAUUAAGAAUACAUUUUUAAAAAGUUCACUGUUAGUUGAUUUUAUACAGAAGUGGUAUGUUUUCUUCUUUUUCUAAUGGAAAAAGUAGCCUAAAAGAAUUACUCUUAUCGGCCCAAAAUACAAUUUCAUUUAUAAGCAAUUGAAGGAGGGUGGUUUGAAGGUCAGAGAGUCGUAACUCAACCUGCACUUAACUUGUUAAUCUAUUUCUUUCAGUGGUAUCUUUCAUUUUGUCUGUUGUAUGAUUAAUGGCCGUGUACGGUAGCGUUGGACAAGACAUUGUCCGACUCUUCAGUUGAAUUUUUUUUAAAGGGGUCUUUGUGAGGACCGUUGGCUGUGUAUGGCUCUGAGCCUGAGGGGCUCUUCUCUCCAAGUACACGCUGCUUCACAGAGAAGACUUGACUCUGAAAUUCCUCCAGAUAAGAGUUGCUAGGUGAUGUUAUUGUUAGAUCUUCUUUGUGGUCGCAUAUUCAUAUCCAAAUUGUAAGGUUCUUUAUGAGGACUGUCUCAUUAGUAGUCAUAUAUUCAUACCAGACCACCCCCCUACUUGACCCCUCCUUUACAAGUCGUGGGAAAGACAAGCCCUGGAUGGGAUGUGGAGAAGGACUCAGGCAAUUACUUGGAAGAUGGUCAA